rnacentral:rRNA from 1 species
CAAUGGGGACCCCAAAAAACACUUUGCAGUACCUGUAACAGUCUGAACAAACAAACAAAAAUUAAAACUUUCAACAACGGAUCUCUUGGUUCUGGCAUCGAUGAAGAACGCAGCGAAAUGCGAUAAGUAGUGUGAAUUGCAGAAUUCAGUGAAUCAUCGAAUCUUUGAACGCACAUUGCGCCCUUUGGUAUUCCUUAGGGCAUGCCUGUUCGAGCGUCAUUUAAACCUUCAAGCUCAGCUUGGUGUUGGGUGACUGUCCGCCGCCUCCGGGCGCGUGGACUCGCCUCAAAAUUAUUGGCGGCCGGUACAUUGGCUUCGAGCGCAGCAGAAACGCGAACUCGGGCCCGUCGUAUUGGCUCCCAGAAGCUAUCUUCACAAUUUUGACCUCGGAUCAGGUAGGGAUACCCGCUGAACUUAAGCAUAUCAAU